CUACGGGCUGCACCAGUGAGGAAUAUUGGACAAUGGAGGAAACUCUGAUCCAGCCAUGCCGCGUGAGUGAAGAAGGCCUUAGGGUUGUAAAGCUCUUUCAGUAGUGAAGAUAAUGACGGUAACUACAGAAGAAGCUCCGGCUAAAUUCGUGCCAGCAGCCGCGGUAAUACGAAUGGAGCAAGCGUUGUUCGGAAUCACUGGGCUUAAAGCGUGCGCAGGCGGACUGUAAAGUCAGAAGUGAAAUCCCGGGGCUCAACCUCGGAACUGCUUUUGAAACUCACAGUCUAGAAUCCGAUAGAGGUAAGGAGAACUCCUAGUGUAGAGGUGGAAUUCGCAGAUAUUAGGAAGAAUACCAGUGGCGUAGGCGCCUUACUGGAUCGGUAUUGACGCUCAUGUACGAAAGCGUGGGGAGCAAACAGGAUUAGAUACCCUCGUAGUC
rnacentral:rRNA from 1 species